CAGAACGAACGCUGGCGGCGUGCUUAACACAUGCAGGUCGAACGCGAAAGGGACUUCGGUCCUGAGUAAAGUGGCGCACGGGUGAGUAACGCGUAGAUAACCUGUCUUUAUGUCUGGAAUAAUACGCCGAAAGGGGUACUAAUACCGGAUAUUUUUGCAUUGCAUAAGCAGUGUAAGCAAAGGUGGCCUCUGACAUAAGCUACUGCAUAAAGAGGGGUCUGCGUACCAUUAGCUAGUAGGUGGGGUAAAGGCCUACCUAGGCUACGAUGGUUAGCGGGUCUGAGAGGAUGAUCCGCCACACUGGCACUGGAACACGGGCCAGACUCCUACGGGAGGCAGCAGUGAGGAAUAUUGCGCAAUGGGGGCAACCCUGACGCAGCGACGCCGCGUGAGUGAAGGAAGGCCUUCGGGUCGUAAAGCUCUGUCAAAGGGAAAGAAGUGCAUGGUGGUUAAUACCUGCCAUGUUUGACGGUACCCUUAAAGGAAGCACCGGCUAACUCCGUGCCAGCAGCUGC
rnacentral:rRNA from 1 species